AACAGGAUUAGAUACCCUGGUAGUCCACGCCGUAAACGAUGUCGACUUGGAGGUUGUGCCCUUGAGGCGUGGCUUCCGGAGCUAACGCGUUAAGUCGACCGCCUGGGGAGUACGGCCGCAAGGUUAAAACUCAAAUGAAUUGACGGGGGCCCGCACAAGCGGUGGAGCAUGUGGUUUAAUUCGAUGCAACGCGAAGAACCUUACCUGGUCUUGACAUCCACGGAAGUUUUCAGAGAUGAGAAUGUGCCUUCGGGAACCGUGAGACAGGUGCUGCAUGGCUGUCGUCAGCUCGUGUUGUGAAAUGUUGGGUUAAGUCCCGCAACGAGCGCAACCCUUAUCCUUUGUUGCCAGCGGUCCGGCCGGGAACUCAAAGGAGACUGCCAGUGAUAAACUGGAGGAAGGUGGGGAUGACGUCAAGUCAUCAUGGCCCUUACGACCAGGGCUACACACGUGCUACAAUGGCGCAUACAAAGAGAAGCGACCUCGCGAGAGCAAGCGGACCUCAUAAAGUGCGUCGUAGUCCGGAUUGGAGUCUGCAACUCGACUCCAUGAAGUCGGAAUCGCUAGUAAUCGUGGAUCAGAAUGCCACGGUGAAUACGUUCCCGGGCCUUGUACACGCCGCCCGUCACACCAUGGGAGUGGGUUGCAAAAGAAGUAGGUAGCUUAACCUUCGGGAGGGCGCUUACCACUUUGUGAUUCAUGACUGGGGUGAAGUCGUAACAAGGUAACC
rnacentral:rRNA from 1 species